rnacentral:misc_RNA from 1 species
UCGUAACAAGGUCUCCGUUGGUGAACCAGCGGAGGGAUCAUUACAGAGUUGCAAAACUCCCUAAACCAUUGUGAACGUUACCUAAACCGUUGCUUCGGCGGGCGGCGCCGGGGUUUACCCCCCGGGCGCCCCUGGGCCCCACCGCGGGCGCCCGCCGGAGGUCACCAAACUCUUGAUAAUUUAUGGCCUCUCUGAGUCUUCUGUACUGAAUAAGUCAAAACUUUCAACAACGGAUCUCUUGGUUCUGGCAUCGAUGAAGAACGCAGCGAAAUGCGAUAAGUAAUGUGAAUUGCAGAAUUCAGUGAAUCAUCGAAUCUUUGAACGCACAUUGCGCCCGCCAGUAUUCUGGCGGGCAUGCCUGUUCGAGCGUCAUUUCAACCAUCAAGCCCCCGGGCUUGUGUUGGGGACCUGCGGCUGCCGCAGGCCCUGAAAAGCAGUGGCGGGCUCGCUGUCACACCGAGCGUAGUAGCAUACAUCUCGCUCUGGGCGUGCUGCGGGUUCCGGCCGUUAAACCACCUUUUAACCCAAGGUUGACCUCGGAUCAGGUAGGAAGACCCGCUGAACUUAAGCAUAUCAAUAA